AUUGAACUCUGACGGCAGGCCUAACACAUGCAAGUCGAACGAGUUGCGGACGUGUGCGUAAUGUCUGGGAAACUGCCCGAUGGAGGGGGAUAACUACUGGAAACGGUAGCUAAUACCGCAUACCAUCAGAUGUGCCCCGAUGGGAUUAGCUAGUAGGUGGGGUAACGGCUCACAUAGGCGACGAUCCCUAGCUGGUCUGAGAGGAUGACCAGCUACACUGGAACUGAGACACGUUCCAGACUCCUACGUGAGGCAGCAGUGGGGAAUAUGGCAAAAUGGGCGCAAGCCUGAUGCAGCCAUGCCGCGUGUAUGAAGAAGGCCUUCGGGUUGUAAAGUACUUUCAGCGAGGAGGCGUUACUCGCAGAAGAAGCACCGGCUAACUCCGUGCCAGCAGCCGCGGUAAUAC
rnacentral:rRNA from 1 species